GCUUUUGGCCAUACCACCCUGAGCACGCCUGAUCUCGUCUGAUCUCGGAGGCUUAGCAGGGUCGGGCCUGGUUAGUACUUGGAUGGGAGACCGCCUGGGAAUACCAGGUGCUGUAAGCU
ensembl:rRNA 5S_rRNA 5S ribosomal RNA